rnacentral:rRNA from 1 species
GAUUAAGUUAUUAAGGGCGCACGGUGGAUGCCUUGGCACUAGAAGCCGAUGAAGGACGUUACUAACGACGAUAUGCUUUGGGGAGCUGUAAGUAAGCUUUGAUCCAGAGAUUUCCGAAUGGGGAAACCCAGCAUGAGUUAUGUCAUGUUAUCGAUAUGUGAAUACAUAGCAUAUCAGAAGGCACACCCGGAGAACUGAAACAUCUUAGUACCCGUAGGAAGAGAAAGAAAAUUCGAUUCCCUUAGUAGCGGCGAGCGAAACGGGAAGAGCCCAAACCAACAAGCUUGCUUGUUGGGGUUGUAGGACACUCUAUACGGAGUUACAAAGGACGACAUUAGACGAAUCAUCUGGAAAGAUGAAUCAAAGAAGGUAAUAAUCCUGUAGUCGAAAAUGUUGUCUCUCUUGAGUGGAUCCUGAGUACGACGGAGCACGUGAAAUUCCGUCGGAAUCUGGGAGGACCAUCUCCUAAGGCUAAAUACUCUCUAGUGACCGAUAGUGAACCAGUACCGUGAGGGAAAGGUGAAAAGCACCCCGGAAGGGGAGUGAAAUAGAACCUGAAACCGUGUGCUUACAAGUAGUCAGAGCCCGUUAAUGGGUGAUGGUGUGCCUUUUGUAGAAUGAACCGGCGAGUUACGAUUUGAUGCAAGGUUAAGCAGUAAAUGUGGAGCCGUAGCGAAAGCGAGUCUGAAUAGGGCGUUUAGUAUUUGGUCGUAGACCCGAAACCAGGUGAUCUACCCUUGGUCAGGUUGAAGUUCAGGUAACACUGAAUGGAGGACCGAACCGACUUACGUUGAAAAGUGAGCGGAUGAACUGAGGGUAGCGGAGAAAUUCCAAUCGAACCUGGAGAUAGCUGGUUCUCUCCGAAAUAGCUUUAGGGCUAGCCUCAAGUGAUGAUUAUUGGAGGUAGAGCACUGUUUGGACGAGGGGCCCCUCUCGGGUUACCGAAUUCAGACAAACUCCGAAUGCCAAUUAAUUUAACUUGGGAGUCAGAACAUGGGUGAUAAGGUCCGUGUUCGAAAGGGAAACAGCCCAGACCACCAGCUAAGGUCCCAAAAUAUAUGUUAAGUGGAAAAGGAUGUGGCGUUGCCCAGACAACUAGGAUGUUGGCUUAGAAGCAGCCAUCAUUUAAAGAGUGCGUAAUAGCUCACUAGUCGAGUGACACUGCGCCGAAAAUGUACCGGGGCUAAACAUAUUACCGAAGCUGUGGAUUGUCCUUUGGACAAUGGUAGGAGAGCGUUCUAAGGGCGUUGAAGCAUGAUCGUAAGGACAUGUGGAGCGCUUAGAAGUGAGAAUGCCGGUGUGAGUAGCGAAAGACGGGUGAGAAUCCCGUCCACCGAUUGACUAAGGUUUCCAGAGGAAGGCUCGUCCGCUCUGGGUUAGUCGGGUCCUAAGCUGAGGCCGACAGGCGUAGGCGAUGGAUAACAGGUUGAUAUUCCUGUACCACCUAUAAUCGUUUUAAUCGAUGGGGGGACGCAGUAGGAUAGGCGAAGCGUGCGAUUGGAUUGCACGUCUAAGCAGUAAGGCUGAGUAUUAGGCAAAUCCGGUACUCGUUAAGGCUGAGCUGUGAUGGGGAGAAGACAUUGUGUCUUCGAGUCGUUGAUUUCACACUGCCGAGAAAAGCCUCUAGAUAGAAAAUAGGUGCCCGUACCGCAAACCGACACAGGUAGUCAAGAUGAGAAUUCUAAGGUGAGCGAGCGAACUCUCGUUAAGGAACUCGGCAAAAUGACCCCGUAACUUCGGGAGAAGGGGUGCUCUUUAGGGUUAACGCCCAGAAGAGCCGCAGUGAAUAGGCCCAAGCGACUGUUUAUCAAAAACACAGGUCUCUGCUAAACCGUAAGGUGAUGUAUAGGGGCUGACGCCUGCCCGGUGCUGGAAGGUUAAGAGGAGUGGUUAGCUUCUGCGAAGCUACGAAUCGAAGCCCCAGUAAACGGCGGCCGUAACUAUAACGGUCCUAAGGUAGCGAAAUUCCUUGUCGGGUAAGUUCCGACCCGCACGAAAGGCGUAACGAUUUGGGCACUGUCUCAACGAGAGACUCGGUGAAAUCAUAGUACCUGUGAAGAUGCAGGUUACCCGCGACAGGACGGAAAGACCCCGUGGAGCUUUACUGUAGCCUGAUAUUGAAAUUCGGCACAGCUUGUACAGGAUAGGUAGGAGCCUUUGAAACGUGAGCGCUAGCUUACGUGGAGGCGCUGGUGGGAUACUACCCUAGCUGUGUUGGCUUUCUAACCCGCACCACUUAUCGUGGUGGGAGACAGUGUCAGGCGGGCAGUUUGACUGGGGCGGUCGCCUCCUAAAAGGUAACGGAGGCGCUCAAAGGUUCCCUCAGAAUGGUUGGAAAUCAUUCAUAGAGUGUAAAGGCAUAAGGGAGCUUGACUGCGAGACCUACAAGUCGAGCAGGGUCGAAAGACGGACUUAGUGAUCCGGUGGUUCCGCAUGGAAGGGCCAUCGCUCAACGGAUAAAAGCUACCCCGGGGAUAACAGGCUUAUCUCCCCCAAGAGUUCACAUCGACGGGGAGGUUUGGCACCUCGAUGUCGGCUCAUCGCAUCCUGGGGCUGUAGUCGGUCCCAAGGGUUGGGCUGUUCGCCCAUUAAAGCGGUACGCGAGCUGGGUUCAGAACGUCGUGAGACAGUUCGGUCCCUAUCCGUCGUGGGCGUAGGAAAUUUGAGAGGAGCUGUCCUUAGUACGAGAGGACCGGGAUGGACAUACCUCUGGUGUACCAGUUGUCGUGCCAACGGCAUAGCUGGGUAGCUAUGUGUGGACGGGAUAAGUGCUGAAAGCAUCUAAGCAUGAAGCCCCCCUCAAGAUGAGAUUUCCCAACUUCGGUUAUAAGAUCCCUCAAAGAUGAUGAGGUUAAUAGGUUCGAGGUGGAAGCAUGGUGACAUGUGGAGCUGACGAAUACUAAUCGAUCGAAGACUUAAUCAA